ACACGCACGCAAUGCUUACCCUCGAUCUCGUGCAAUCAAUGACCCGGCUUGAUUACAAAUAUAGAGGACGAAUAUUCUUAAACGUAUCAUUAUUAAACCAAAAAUACUGAAGGGUGAAGAAGUAUUUGAAACUACUGCACAAUAACGUAUAAACUCGUGUAUAUUGAGCAUCAAGAACAAUGAAAUUUGCUUUUGAAGUUCUGCUGUUGCUGAUUGUUUGUACAACAUUAUUAUCAGCCAAACCACACUAUGAAAUUGAGGAAGGACGCGGUGAGAGUGAAAAGGACCAGAGAAGUGCUCAGAAUUGUUUUACUACCGGGUGUCCAUCAGCAC